GGCGCCCUCCUGCCCGGCGUAGCCCCACUAGCAAAACCCAAGGUGAAUUACUUGGUGUUACUUAGAACUAAUUUAUUCAUUUUUUUUCAUCAUUAGUUCGAGAGCAUGUGCUUGUUUGACCAUCUAUUAAUCUUUCAUGGCAAUAUGGUUAGUCAAUAGCCAGUAGAGAGUACAUGCAUGUGUGCUGAGUUUAAUUACAGUUAUGUUGUGACAGUGGUCACUUGCGUCUCUGUCCAAUUAUUCAGAUCACUAGCUGAAGAAUUAGUGCUUGUGCUGAUGAUCAAAUAGUGCCACUAGCAGUCCAUGUUGUAUCUGAUUGUACACCGUACAUGGAGAGAUAAAAACCUAUUGUGGUACAUAGUUGUAACCAUCUCACUAGAAUAUUUAAAAGUGAUAAGUAAUCAACAGAUCAUUGUUGUAGUAAACUGAAAUUAAACUGAUUGUUCUGUCUUCGGAAACUAGGAGUGAACUGAGACUAAACUGAUUGCAGUGAAAUAAUGAACACUCAACAGAUUGGGUCCCAUGUGUGCUGAUUCAGAUAUUCCUUCUGCAUAAUCUGUCGAUCUAGCAAGACAAAAUAACACAUAUUCAUCAACCUAUCCCAUGAUAGUUUUGUAAGUUCCAAAGAUCAUCGGCUUCACUCUACAAAUUAAGGGAUAUAUAACUGAUUAUAUGAAGUAUCAUAUUGCUUAACAAUGAAUUUUAUGAAUUUUAGACAUGGUAGGUGGAAAUACCGUCAGUAAACGAGCAUAGUACCCAUAUUCUUGCAAACCAUUUGCAUUUGUUCCAGCCAUUUGCUCUAUAGGUGCUUGGUAUUGUGCUACUGAAAUGUCAUUCUUUCCUCCCUAUGCAAAAAUAAAAACAAAACAAAACCAAUGUUAGUUGAGUUGUUACUAUAUUACUCUAUUUAAUAAGUAGUCUGGUUAGACAUGUGCAAGAGAUUUACAGAAUGAUUUUGAUUUUUGGGUACCGCUUUAGUUGUCUCCUUCUUCUUUUUAUUUGGGUGCUGAUUGUCAAGCCAUGAUUUCUUUCUUCUUAAAUUUUUCUUUGGAAUUUCCUUUUUCUUUAGGCAAGCAUCCUUUAAACAAUCGUCUGGUUCUUUAGAUAUAUCUUCAGUUCUGCAUGUAGUAGUACGAGCUUUCUCUUCAACUUGCUUCCUAAGAUUCUUCAAAGCAUCAUCUACUAGUUUGAUACACUCUUCUGAUCUAACUGCCUGUGAAGCUAUGCCAAGGAACUCGUGCAUGAAAAACUUCAACUGUUGUCUAUCUUCUGAUCUAGGAUCUUCCAAAACAAUGUUUCCAUGGCUGUUUUGUAUAGUGUCGCUUCGCGCUUCUCGAGUCCAUCGCUUCAAAAUAUAGUGGCCUGGAAGGUACUUAAUAUUCAUGACAUCAAGUGCUUUCAAAGCAUGACUACACAAUAUACCAACUCUUUCAAAUUGCCCACAAUCGCAGAAAACUUUUUGCUCUUCAUAAUCAACUACAACUUUGCACUCUUCUUCAUAUGUGAAUUCUGGGUCAAGACUUGCAAUUGCAACAAUAUAUGCAUUGUGUUCUAUCGAUGGCUUGAUGUAUGCUGAGAUAGAUCUUUCAUAUUCAUUCUGAAAAUCUUCAAAUAUGCGUGGUGUGUAAACCUUGCUCGCUUAUAUUACCAUAGGAGUCCUCAUUCUGACUCUAGGUAAUUUUUUCCUAGACUCAUAUUCCUCAUUUACCUCGUUAUCUCUUUUCUCUUGCACAGCCCUCUCUACGUGCUUGAAAAACCGAAGGAUGUCAAGAUCAGACUUUAGAUGGUCUUUCAAGUCACUGUUCAACCUCUCACUUAAUUGUGUGCUUCUCAUGCCUAUAGUGUAAGCAUUCCUCAUGUAACAUCUUGCCCAUUUCUCUUUUACUUUGUAGAUGCUGUCCAACCAAGUUUGUGUAUCCACAUUGCUUCUGAUGGCAUUGAAAGCUUCUACAAAGGCUUCCUCUUCCUCAUACUUUUACAUGCAAGCGCUGAAAUCAGCAAGUACAUUUGGUCCCUCCUCGUCUUUUUUCUUAUGAGGUAAGUGCCUGAUGGCAUUUUGCAUUAUGUGAAAAGUGCAUAAUCCAUGCCAUGCUUCGGUAAAUACCGCCUGAACUGCAUUACCCAUUGCUACAUCUUGAUCAGUAAAGAUUGUUCUAGGUUGCUUCUUGUUAUGCAAUGAUAGGAACGUGUUGAACAACCAUUUGAAUGAUUCAAAUGUCUCAUCAUAUAAAAGUGCAGCACCAAAAAUGACCAUUUCUCUAAAAUGGUUGAAUCCAACAAACACACCGAAGGGUCUGUACUCUUUGUUUGUCCCAAAUGUUGUAUCGAAAGUAACAACAUCACCGAAAUGAGCAUAGUUAAUGAUCAUCUUUGCAUCAACCCAAAAGAUAUUCGCUAUUUGUUCAUCGCAAUCUAGUUGCAUAUCAUAUUCAAAUGCAGGAUUCUCAUUCUUUUUAUCUCUAAAGUACUUAAGCAUACUUCCAGCUUCACCAUACAUCAAGUCCCUUUGACGCCUGGUUCGCAAGUGGUUCUUGCGAUCACGACAUGUGUAGCCAAGGUUCAGUGGACCACCAACUUGUCGACUUGCUAACUCAUGGGCUCUUUUAGGUACAAUUCCUGAAUCAUCUGCUGUUUCAAUUUCAAAUGCUUGCAAGGCCGAAAUCUUCCGUUGUGACGGCAUCAAGUGGCUUGUCCCAGGUAAUUGCAAGACAUGGUUGUGUUCAACAACUAACUCAUGCACCUCAUAAUCUUCUGCUUCUCAGUCUAUAGUGAUUCCCAUUCGAACAUUGCAGCCGGUCCUUGUUUCUGCACGAGGACGCUUUGUAUUAUUAUCCUUUUUGUCUUUUCUUCUGUAGCCUUCAUUAGAACAAACAUAUCUUGCAGAAGUGAUUACUCCAUCAAGUUUGCUCUUGUUUUCAUAAUUUACCCUUACAUCAAAACCAGUAUGACCUCCAUAACAUGUCCAAAAGUUCCAAGCCUCUUUUGUGGAAUUAAACUUCAUACCAAUCUGAGGCAUCCAACUAGGAACCACAUUUGUCCUGCACAAAUUAAGCAUAACUUAUUUGUUUCUCUGCUUACACUACAAUCAUAAGAUGACAUGGCCUAAUAAGAAUUGCACAAAAUUAUUGGUACCUGUUAGAACCUUCAUUGGUGGAGUUAAUCAUAUUCUCCAUUACAAUUUGUGUUUUUUUCUUUUAUAAUCUAUGAUAGCAAACUCAUUCCAUGAGAUCUUUGUUGCUGCCAACAUGAAUACAAUUGAAACAUAUGUCAUAUACUUUCAGAUUGACGUCUUUAUUUUUGUUGCUACCAUGUACAUCACAGGCACCCGUAUAUCAUCUACAACUCAAUAUAUCUUGUUCUUGUCCUAGAUACAAGGAGGACGAUCAGGACAAAAGUAAGAUAGAAGGGAAAUCAUCUACAACAGGCACACACAAACGUACCUUGGUCUUGUUCUCGCUAGGGAGGAUGAGUGGGAGGAACAAGGGAGACGAGCAGGAGGAGGCGCCGACGAAAUUGUCAACACGUUCUGAUUGGCCACAACGUUAGUUCAGCAGAAGCGAGAUCUCUACAACACGUUCAGAUCAGCAUACCUUGGUCUCAUUUUUUCUCCGAGGAGGACCAGGAGGAAGAGGACGAGUGGGAGGAUUUUGGCGCCAAGAAACUAUCAGCUCGUUCUGUUUGGCGCCAGCGUUUAUCUGUUUGGCUGCAAUUGUACAACCGUGGGAGAUUUUCCUCCGGACUAAUAGGGAUUUUUGUUCUAAUUAUUCAUAGAAUUAAGGGGGGAGAAAGGAGAGCCAUCUGAUUAAAAUAGACGGUAGAUGCUAGACGCUACAGCACGCGUAUAGUAAUAGCUGUACUGCAGAGGAGCCGAACCCUGUCGAACCCAUACCGCGGUAGCUAGCCUCGGAAAGAAAUCGAG
rnacentral:lncRNA from 1 species